AUUGAACGCUGGCGGCAGGCCUAACACAUGCAAGUCGAGCGGAUGAAGGGAGCUUGCUCCUGGAUUCAGCGGCGGACGGGUGAGUAAUGCCUAGGAAUCUGCCUGGUAGUGGGGGACAACGUUUCGAAAGGAACGCUAAUACCGCAUACGUCCUACGGGAGAAAGCAGGGGACCUUCGGGCCUUGCGCUAUCAGAUGAGCCUAGGUCGGAUUAGCUAGUUGGUGAGGUAAAGGCUCACCAAGGCGACGAUCCGUAACUGGUCUGAGAGGAUGAUCAGUCACACUGGAACUGAGACACGGUCCAGACUCCUACGGGAGGCAGCAGUGGGGAAUAUUGGACAAUGGGCGAAAGCCUGAUCCAGCCAUGCCGCGUGUGUGAAGAAGGUCUUCGGAUUGUAAAGCACUUUAAGUCGGGAGGAAGGGUUGUAGAUUAAUACUCUGCAAUUUUGACGUUACCGACAGAAUAAGCCCCGGCUAACUUCGUGCCAGCCGCCGCCGUAAAAC
rnacentral:rRNA from 1 species